UCUUACAUUGUGCGUGCAGAAAUCUUCAAGUCGUAAAAACGAUCUUAUGUUGAUUUAAAGAGUUUAUAGCUGCAAAAUAUACAUUUCUUCGAUUUAUUGCUUGACUUGUUAUUUCUGGAGGAAAGUGACGGCAAAAGCAAAUAGCAUUGAUACAAACCAUUUUUUAUUUGUUAACAGAUUCAAGUUUGGUACAAGCUUGGGUGUAAAAUAAAUUUUUCUAUAAGUUUAGUAGUAAAUUAAUUAACUAGUGGCAUACUAAAACCAAAUAAAUACGGUUAUUUAUUAUGUAUUGCUUUUAUUUUAACAAAACCUAAAGCAAUUUCAGUUACAACUUUAAAUACUUUAUUCGCGGUAAAUAUUAUAUUAAAUCAACAGGUGUAAUAAAAUCGCUGAAUUUGAAUGAACCAUUGUUUUUGAUGUUGCUGUUGCAGACUGUUUAUUGAAUGUUACUUUGAAGUAAUUACAUAAAUUAGAUUCAUUGGGCAUUAAUUAUAUGAUAUUUGAAUGGACACUAAUUAAAUUCACUGAGUCAGUAUAGGGAGAAUAAAAACGUUUCUGAAAUAUUUGUCUGAAUGAAAUUAAAUCGAUUAAAUAUUUGCGUAUCAAUUAAGCCAGGGAUCGCGUUUAUUUUUAAGGAGUUUUAAAAAUUCUGACGCAUCUUCUCUGUUAUGCUUUACACAGUUUCGUGGAUCUUCCUUGAAGGAGAUUGAUGUGGCCAGUGAAAUCCAUCUCUGCGUCACUUCUUAGCGCAAACCCUUUACAAUUUGUUGGAAGUUAAACUGAUCCUGCAAGCUACAGAUACCUCCCUUGAAUAACUUUAGGAAAAUGCGACUUUCUCUCAGAUUUUCUUUAGUUAGCAGAUUACAUAGUUUAUGAACGUGAUGUAAUCAUGGCCAGAAGUUCCAACAGUUGAGCCGUUCCAUCUAUAAUUAUGUAAAAUCGAUGCUUUGGGAUGAUUACCAACUCUAGGGUACCUUAAAUGGCAUUGUUAGAGCGAAAAAGCGGUUAAUUGCUUUUAAAUGAAACCGUAAAAGGAGGAAAAAUGUUCCUGGCCCUAAAGACAGGUUUAAACGCGGCAUAAAACUUGAAUGAACGUUACUUAAAUAUUUACCAAAUGCAUUCUAAUUUCAUUUGAAUUUUUAAAUAUUUACUCCGAAUUUCAAAACUAUAUUUUUCUUGUGGCGAUAGGUAAGUUAUCCAGAUGCUCGUUAUAAACAAAAUCUGUGUCAUAUUCGUUUUAUAGCUAUCCUACUAACAUUCAUUGUUAAAAUAUUGUUUCAGUUUGAAUAGGUACAGCUGUAAUUGUAGUCGAGUUUUGGUAAACAAAAUGAGCAAAGUAAACACGCAGUUUUUAUUUAAAAAAUGCUGUAAAAAUAAAAUCGCAAUUUAUUCCUGGAUUAAGUGCUCAGUAUUUUUAGAUACUCCGAUAAUAAUAUAACUAAAUCAACUUUCUAAGUAGAUAACGAAUGGGGGGACAACACAACACAACCUUGACCUUGAGUUUGACCCCGCCCAUUUUCCCUCUCUUUCUUUCAAGGUCACUCGUUCUCUCUCUCUUUCUUACUUUUUCAAGGCCAACCCUUCCACUUCCCCCACCACUUCAAGGCCAAGGCAUUAUUGGACCUUGAUGUUUUCAAGGUCAAGGCUAUUCAUGUUACUCCCCACUUUUGCAAGGCCAACAACUCCUCACUCAUUCAAGAUGAAUCGCGCAAUUGUCCUUACUCAUUUUCCACCCCAAACUGUAUAAAAGUUAAUGUGUUGUGUUGUGUAACACAGUUCUUGUGUAUAUCUACAAUAACAAGCAAUUCUUAAAAAAUGGAACCCAUCAGAAAAAGUUCUAUUUUUAAUACUCCUGAGGAUAUCAUAGUUUGUCCAUACGACAAAAACCACAUUCUUCUUUGGUUUCGGCUCGAAAGGCACAUUUGGAAGUGCCAUCGGGCCGAUAAAGAAAAGCAAAGGGCCUCAAGUAAAGUGAUGGUGCAAGAAGAAGAGGAGAACUGGGAUCAUUUUAAUGAGCCCAGCUACCUCGACUUCCUGAGGAGUAAAAAGAAUCAUAAUGCCUUAAAUUAAAGAAGGCCGGGGUUCUUUCGUAGAGAAUAGUGUAGUUUAGCUAAGUAGUAGUCGUAGUAAAAUAUAAAUAUUAUAUUAUUGUAUAAAAAAAUAAAAGUUGUAAAAAAAAAAGCUACAUGUUUUUAUGUACACCUAUUUCAACCUACUAAUACAAGUAAGUGUGACCAGCAAGCAGAGUCGCUCCCUGUUUCAAGACCACUCAUUCCCUCUUUAUCUUUGAUGUUUUCAUCUCCCUUUUUCUCAUUAUUUCACUUUUUCAAGGCCACAAUAUUGGUGCAUUUUCAUUCAAGGUUAAAAAGUGGGGGUAUAGUUAAUAUAUAGAAUUUAGUACAAGUUUGAUAGCAGUCAGUACUGAUUUAAUCCUCCGAGAAAUAAGAAUAUAAAAAAGUGCAUAUAUCUGUGUUAAUGUCUAAGAGUAUUCGCUGCUGGGUCAUGGAUGUAUUGAAUCGAAUCGCUCGAUGCGGACAGAAGCCCAUUUUAAAAGCUGGUGAGCUAGAGUUGAACACAAGAUUCCGCAUACAUAAUAUUAGACGCACAAAGUCUCUGUUCGGAAAUUCAGUGCUUGUUGAGUUGGACAAUUAUGCAGUGUUUCUGCCGAGAAGAAUAAGUGAUUAUUUGACUGAGGAGAAAAUUGAUGAGUUAUUACGAGAUCCACGUCCACUAUAUUUAAUAUAUUUGGGAAAAGAAGAUGCUAGAAACCCGACAUCUGCACAUUGUUUUGAGUUUCAACGUGUUGAUGAUGAAAUAUUAGGUGAGUGAACAUAAUGUAAAAUGGAGGAUGAAAAGAAAUUAAAGAAAUGUAUAUUUCAUUUACAGUUAACGAGGGUGCCGAAGAGUAGGAUGAAAUUAUCGGAAAAAGACUUAUGUGUGUGAAGUAGUGUGCGUUUUGUGCUAGUGAUAGUUUCUUAAAAUAAAUAAAUAAAUAAAAAAUCAUGUGUCUAGACGAUGGACAAUAUGAAAAAAGUUUAUACGAGUGUUUUGAUAAAAGACUGUUAUCAUAUAAGAACUGGGUACAUUCAUACCCAUCUCCAUGGAGUUUAGCAAAAGCGGGAUUGUUUUAUAUUCAAAUAUCUGAUUGUACCCAGUGUUUUGUUUGUGGAGUAAUAAUUUCACGAAGGGAAAAAAGUGAUGAUGCGUUUAUGGAGCAUAAAAAACAUUCUCCAAAAUGUGGAUAUGUGAAAUUGCUUUCCACAGACAAAACUACAAUUCAGAAAUUCAAAUUAGUUACUAAAAAUAGCAUUGUUGUAGUUUUAUUUUUUAUAGUAUUUGUAUUCAUAUAUUAUUUAUGUGCAUAGGUAAUGUGAUGCAGACUUGUUAACCUUGAUCAGUGUCGGGCGCGCGUCAAAGGCAAAGGUUUCAAGAGGCGUUUUGAUUUAAUUAGUUUAUAAUUAAAUAAGUGGUAGAAUAAUAUGGAGGAUUUAUAAUAGAUUUAAGGAUAUUUAAUGUACUACCUAUAAUAUUGAUGAAAUAAAGUGUUUUAAUCGA